rnacentral:lncRNA from 1 species
UCUGGAGUUUUUCCCGGAAUUUUUCUGAGGUUUUUCCUGGAAUUUUCCCAAGGUUUUUCCGAAGUUUUUCCUGGAAUUUUUCCAAGGUUUUUCCUCAAAUUUUUCCAAGGUUUUUCCUGGAAUUUUCCCAUUUCCGGUCGUUUCCUCCAUGGAUUUUCCCUCUUUAAUUCCAACUCUNUUCUGUUUUUUUUUUGUAGGAAAACCCAAAAAACUGGAAAAAAAAAAAACAACAAAAAACCACCACGAAUUCUAAAAGGGCUACGAGGAAAGGGGGGGAAAAACGGGAAAGGAGGAGAAGGAAAAAUGGGGAAAAAAGGGAAAAAAUCGGGAAAAAAAAUUCCCAAGAAAAGGAAAAAAAAUUGGUAAAAAUUGAAAAAAAAUGGGGAAAAAUGGAAAAAAAAUUGGGAAAAAAUCUGGAAAAAAUUUGAAAAUAAAAUGGGGGAAAAAUUGAAAAAAACUAAGAAAAAAACUGAGAAAAAAUUGGGAAAAAUGGAAAAAAAAUUGGGAAAAACUGAAGAAAAAAUCAAAAAUAAAAUCGGGAAAAAUUAAAAUAAAAUCGGGGAAAAAAAUGAAAAAAUUUUGGGAAAAAUUUGAAAGAAAAAUGGGAAAAAAAUUCAAAAUAAAUCAGGAAAAAUUUAAAAUAAAAUCGGGAAAUAUUAAGAAAAAAAUGGGGAAAAAAUUUGAAAAAAAAUGAGGAAAAAUGAAGGAAAAAUUCGGGAAAAAUUUUAAAAAAAAAGGGAAAAAUUUGAAAUAAAAUGGAGAAAAAUUAAGGAAAACAAUCAGGAAAAAAAACGGGAAUGAAAAGAAAUCAAAUUCCAAGGAUAAAAUAUAAAAAUUUCCCGACCCCUCCCCCUUUUCCCGGGAAUUUUUUUUUCCUGGAAAAGUUGGAAUUAUCCCAAAGAGUUUUUUUUUCCCCUCCCCCCACAACAUUCCCAGUAAAUAAAUUAAUUCCAAAUUUCUUUGGGGAAAAAAGGGAAUUUUUCUGGUUUUUUUGGGGGGAAAAAAGGGUAUUUUUACAUUUUUUUAAGGAAAAAAAGGGAAUUUUGUGCUUUUUUUGGGGGCUUCUUGGCAGAGUUGAGCUGCCCAACCCCUCCCAAAACCCCAAAAUCCCCAAAUUCCCCAAUCCCAAACCCCCAAUCCUCAUUCCCAGGAUCCCCAAAAUUCCCAGAAUUCCCAAAAUUCCCGGAAUUCCCACCUUUUUUGGGGGGUUUCUUGGCGGAGUUGAGCUGCCCGCUGACGUCCUGGAGCCGUUUCUCCAAUUCCCGUUUUUUCUCCAGGGCCAGCUCCUCUUUCGUUUUCCCCACCGGCUUCUUCAGGGCUGGAAAAUCCCGGGAA